AUCCUCACCACGCUCGUUUCUGGGUCGGUCUGGAAGACUUGUGAUUUUGUUGUUUCCAGUGUCAGGGAAGCGAACAACAAAUCCCAGUCUCCUCACAGCCCCAGGACUGGCCUCCAAGAAUCCAU
rnacentral:precursor_RNA from 15 species